CAGCCGCCGCGGUAAUACGUAGGGUGCGAGCGUUAAUCGGAAUUACUGGGCGUAAAGCGUGCGCAGGCGGUUCGUUAAGACAGAUGUGAAAUCCCCGGGCUUAACCUGGGAACUGCAUUUGUGACUGGCGAGCUAGAGUAUGGCAGAGGGGGGUAGAAUUCCACGUGUAGCAGUGAAAUGCGUAGAGAUGUGGAGGAAUACCGAUGGCGAAGGCAGCCCCUUGGGCCAAUACUGACGCUCAUACACGAAAGCGUGGGGAGCAAACAGGAUUAGAUACCCCGGUAGUCCCUGUCUCUUAUAC
rnacentral:rRNA from 1 species